UACAGAGGUCUCAAGCGUUGUUCGGAUUCAUUGGGCGUAAAGGGUGCGUAGGUGGCGCUGUAAGUCGGGUGUGAAAUUUCGGAGCUUAACUCCGAAACUGCAUUCGAUACUGCGGUGCUUGAGGACUGGAGAGGAGACUGGAAUUCAUGGUGUAGCAGUGAAAUGCGUAGAGAUCAUGAGGAAGACCAGUGGCGAAGGCGGGUCUCUGGACAGUUCCUGACACUGAGGCACGAAGGCUAGGGGAGCGAACGGG
rnacentral:rRNA from 1 species